GAUAAACGCUGACAGAAUGCUUAACACAUGCAAGUCGAUGAGGAAGUUUUAGCUUGCUAAAAUGAAAUCAUGGCGGACGGGUGAGUAACGCGUAAAGAACUUACCCUUUAGACUGGGAUAACACAAGGAAACUUGUGAUAAUACUAGAUAAGUUAGAUUUAGGCAUCUAAAUCAAAUGAAAUACUAUAUGUGCUAGAGGAGAGCUUUGCGUCCUAUUAACUAGUUGGUAAGGUAAAGGCUUACCAAGGCGAUGAUAGGUAGCCGGCCUGAGAGGGUGAACGGCCACAAGGGGACUGAGAUACGGCCCUUACUCCUACGGGAGGCAGCAGUGGGGAAUAUUGGACAAUGGAGGAAACUCUGAUCCAGCAAUUCUGUGUGCACGAAGACGGUUUUCGGAUUGUAAAGUGCUUUUAGUUGGGAAGAAAAAAAUGACGGUACCAACAGAAGAAGCGACGGCUAAAUACGUGCCAGCAGCCGCGGUAAUACGUAUGUCGCGAGCGUUAUCCGGAAUUAUUGGGCUUAAAGGGCAUCUAGGCGGCAAAGCAAGUUGAAGGUGAAAAGCUGUGGCUCAACCAUAGUCUUGCCUACAAAACUGCUUAGCUAGAGUACUGGAAAGGUGGGUGGAACUACACGAGUAGAGGUGAAAUUCGUAGAUAUGUGUAGGAAUGCCGAUGAUGAAGAUAACUCACUGGACAGCAACUGACGCUGAAGUGCGAAAGCUAGGGGAGCAAACAGG
rnacentral:rRNA from 1 species